CUGGCGUUACCGUGACGGUACCUAACGGAAAGCCACGGCUAACUACGUGCCAGCAGCCGCGGUAAUACGUAGGUGGCAAGCGUUGUCCGGAAUUAUUGGGCGUAAAGCGCGCGCAGGCGGUUCCUUAAGUCUGAUGUGAAAGCCCACGGCUCAACCGUGGAGGGUCAUUGGAAACUGGGGGACUUGAGUGCAGAAGAGGAGAGUGGAAUUCCACGUGUAGCGGUGAAAUGCGUAGAGAUGUGGAGGAACACCAGUGGCGAAGGCGGCUCUCUGGUCUGUAACUGACGCUGAGGCGCGAAAGCGUGGGGAGCAAACAGGAUUAGAUACCCUGGUAGUCCACGCCGUAAACGAUGAGUGCUAAGUGUUAGAGGGUAUCCGCCCUUUAGUGCUGUAGCUAACGCAUUAAGCACUCCGCCUGGGGAGUACGCUCGCAAGAGUG
rnacentral:rRNA from 1 species